CCCUUAGAUGUUCUGGGCGGCCCGCGCACUACAAUGGCGUGUGCAGCGAGUGCCGAAGUAGAGUUUUCCGAGGUAUUCUUGCAAUGCUCGUUUUGAUGGGGAUAGACCCUUGCAACUGUUGGUUUUGAACGAGGAAUUCCUUGUAAGCAUGGUUUAUCAUCCGACGCUGAAUGCGUCCCUGCCCUUUGUACACACCGCCCGUCGCUCCUACCGAUUGGAUGAUCCGGUGAGCUAUUCGGACUUUCGCAUUGUCGAUUUUCGGCUUUACGAGGGAAAGUCUCGCGAACCUUAUCAUCUAGAGGAAGGAGAAGUCGUAACA
rnacentral:rRNA from 1 species